AAAAAAUCUUGUGAAUCAGGUUGACUGUGUAGUCAUAGCACUUAUAUACUCUUACUGGUUUGGUUUUUGACUCUAGGAUGAUUUACUUUAGUCCCAAAUGAUGUCUCGUUUGCCAAGUGUAUAGCUUCAACUUGAGAAUUUGUUACAGUUAUUGUCACGACCCAACCUAUGAGCCGGACCGGCACUAGGAUCUGGGCCAGCCUAAA
rnacentral:misc_RNA from 1 species